GGUCUGGCCAGGAAACCUUCAAGUAGGAGCACUUUCCCUUCUAAGCAGACCAAGGAGAAAAUGCAGUGGGAGAGAAGAUCCACUCUUCUGAGGACAGAGUACUUGGCCAACGUUGAGUGAAUCCUGGUGCACCAUAGGUCGGUAGUCAUUAUCAUCAUUGUUAUACUGGCCUCCAAAACCCAGAGUCCUGCUCUAGAUGGUUCUGCUAAUAAGAAGGACGAUGCAAGGAUGGAGAAAAUGGGGUGUUGGUGAGCGAGGUGCGUAGUACUCCUCCUGGGACGUUCUCCUGUUGGUUGGGAACACAUCCAACUUGUCAGGAUGGAACCGGUGACCACCCGGGCUUCACUUCUCAUCUGUGCUGAUGCGCUCUAAAAUCGGGCUCCCCUCCAGCACGUUUGGAGCAGCAGUGCUGAGAAUGUUGCUCUGAACCCUCCAUCCACCACUGAGAAAAACUCAUAGAGGAGGAAAAUCAGGUUCCAGAUUGCUCAGCAGAAAGGAAAAACCAGCUUGGAAGCCCCUCUGGAAGAGAGCCAGGCAGUAAUCUCACGGCGUGUGGGUGAGAAUGGCAGCAUCUCCUUUGGCCUCUGACGGAGCUGCUCACACUCAGCAUCCAACCUCCUCCGUUUAUAGCCCCGAUUUCCAACCAGCUAAAUGAAAAUACUUGUGGGCAGCAAAAAUAGCCGGUGCUGAAAACCUGUGUCUACCGAGGGUGGAAAUUGCUGGGAGUUCCUCUGUGUCCACAGCCCAUCAUUAGGAGCGGUGGCAUAAAUCCGGCGGUUGC